UAUUAUUAUUAUUAUUAAUAUUAUUAUUAUUAUUAUUAUUAUUAUUAUAUGUAAGAAUCGUUGUAAUCUACAGCAGAUAAAGAGUAUUUCAGUGAUAUCUGGAAUAAAAACUAUUAUAAUAAUGAUUGGUUGAAAACUCUCUCUCUCGUCCAAUCACAAACUGCGGCUAAAAUAAAAAGCCGCCAUGACACACGUGAUAGACGCGAAUAAAACCCAAACAAAAGAAAUGAUUUCUCUAAUAAAUAAUGUUUUUACAAUCUUCUUUUCUGCCCGUUAUAUUUAAAGUGUCUUUGCUCUUUGUCGGAUCCCUGAUUGGCUCCCGCACAUGACAUCCCUCCCACCUUCAGAGCAGUGGCCAAUCACAGCCCUGCAGCGGCUGACAAACAGACUCUCAGAGCCUCUCGGGCCAAUCACACGUCAGC